rnacentral:lncRNA from 1 species
AGAUUGAACUAAAAUCUCUUUUGUUUCUCCUUCUCUCCCACAAAACCCUAACACCGCCUCUCUUUCCAUUGCCAAGGUUGGCCAGUGUUGGAUCUCCGAAACACCACCCAAAUCUCACCAUGCAACCUCUACCUUUCCCUCAAUCAAAGUCCACUAUCAUUCCCCCAUAAAACCUCAUCAAAGCAGCCUAUUUCUUGAAUCUAAGGCUGACGGAAAAGGAGUUCGUUAGGUUUCCAGAUUUCUUUGAGCAAUAGGGUCUAAAACGAGUAUUAACCAUUUGUUCUCGUCAAGAACAUGUGGUUAAUACCUGUGUUGGAUCAAAUCAUAAUUUCUUAAAUUCUAUCAGUUUAGGAAUCAAAAGAUUUCAGAGGUAUCGUCUUCCAUAUUCUUCGUGUGUUUUGUUUAAAUUUUCAAUACUUUGUUCUUUUGUUUUAUUCUUCUCCAUAUUAUGUUCUUUAUUUGGUAUUUAGUUUUUAUUUUUUGCUAUUCAGUGGUUAAUUUCAAUUAAUCGUUUUGGCUAGAAUAAUUUUAUUUGUUAUUACAAGUUAGCAUUAAGUUGUUUAGUUUAGUCGAUUGAGCUGUUUCAGAACUAGUUUCGCCAUGUUUUCAUUUUUAGGGAAAUUUUGACCCUUCUCUGGGACAAUUUUACUUAGCCCAAGGAAUUCACGAGGGCCUUGAAAUCAGAGGCAUCAAAUAGUUCGUUUGGGUCUGCCUAGACCCAUUAGGCUGGGUCAAUUGACCCAUUUUUUUUCUAAGAUUUAAGAGGAAAUAACAGGGGUUGUCAGGUAGCUUAGGUAUUCGGAGGAUAUAUUAUCUUUCAUAACAAACUAAGAUGCUUCUAGGGUGGGUGGGAUUUGAAUUUCAGCCUUUUGGGUAGUCGAACUUGGAGAACAAGUCAGAAAUAUAUGGAUACCUAAGCAAUAAUGAGAAUUCAGAAAGGAUUGAAAAUGAAAACUGAAAAUCUGAAGCUCCCCCUUAGUUUUUCCUAUAAAAGACAGUAGAUGAUGCCUUAAUGGAAGAGUUUUUUUAGCCUUUACAAUUCCCCCCAAAAAAUAUUCUAUAGUUUCCAGAAGCUGAAAUUUGAAUUUCAGAUUCAAAAACUAGGUCUGGAAUUUGAAACCUCUUUUAGAUCUUAAACUUUUCAGAAAAUAAAAAAAAUAGCAGAAACUCCAAAAGAUAUAUUGUUACAUCAAGCUUUUGUAGAUCGAUUGCAAGUUCAGCUUGUUAAUCUGAGUUCCUAGUGUUCCUGGACUCAAUUGCAAGUUCGUUAUUGGUUUAUUCAAGUUAUUUUUGGGUGUUUCUAAUAGAUGAAGGUUUUCUAGAAUUUAUGGGUUCAAUUUCAAGUUCAUUUGGGUUUAUUCAAGUUGUUUAUGGUUGAUUUCCUAGUUUUCUCUGAUUUCGAACUCUUCCUGGAUUGUCGAAUUCAUUUCUGGGCUGUUAUCCGAUCUCUGCUCGUUAUUGCUGCUGAUUUCUUCUUCUUAUAUUUCAAACAUCCAAGUACAUUUUAUGUAACCUUCAAGCUUGUGUACAUGAAGUGAAAUGUUACUUGAGAUGAUUUCGGAUUUCUCAUGUUUUGUUUUAAUUCAAAAGUAUAGAACAAUUAUGUUUAUUCGAAUCACUUGUAUAAUUGGACAGUUUGAGGUUGUGUAGGACUGUUAAACUCAUUUGAUUUGUGUGAAGAUUUGAAACAUCAGGUUUAAUUUGGUUACACCUUAAUUCGUGUUGUAGUUAAAUAUGAUAUUUUGCCUAUGAUAGUUUAGCAUGGGAGGUUUGUGCUAGUAGUAAGAAACUGAUUCUGAAAUCGUUAAUGAUAUAGUUUGUAGUUAAUGUUAAAAUAAUGAUUACAUUUAGGAAUUGAACAUUCUGGGUCAUUUCAGCUUUAAUUAUACUAGUCAUGAGGGCUGCAUAAGGAUCACGUCCCUAUUGGAAUCAAACUGUGAGAGCUUGAAACUGCUGUUAUUGUGUUAGUCUUUAAAAUUUGCAAGCCUAUUUACUUUUUAAAAGGUUGUUUAAUUGCGGAUAGUCAUUGUUAGGUUGAAAAUAGUUUCGAGUUUUCUUACAAAUGUGAUAGCCUGUUGUUAUUUAAUUUAAAUUCGAUGGCAUCUUAAGUCUUUACUUCAAGUUGAAAAUCAGAUGUUGAGCCCUUUUGUUUCCUGAAUUUGGGCCUAUGCCUUCUGUCAAUUUGGGCCUUGUUCCAAAAUCCAGGCAUUAGAAACUUCACAAACUACUUAAUUAGGCUUUUUGUAGAGACAAUCCAUAAGAGGAAAAUCGUAGUCUUUUAGGUUAGCUUUUUAAAAAAAUGAGGUGCGCCGCGCCCAAACAAAACCAUAAAUCUCAUUGCCCUCUUAAUCAUAUUAAAAAUACUUUAGACCAUGGGACGAUCCAUUAGCGAAUUUUAUGGCCUCCCACAAAGUUAAUGAUAUGCUAGUUGCUUUAGGCCCGACAUUUAAUAAUAAUACUUUCCUAAAUUCGGGUGCACAUUUAUGUGACCCAAAUUUAAAUCUCAACGAAGUUGAAAUGUGUCAAAACCUACGAGUGUAUUUAUGUGAUGUGAUUCAAGAUAUGUUUUCACGACAUUGCAAUUCUCUUUUAAAAUAAUAAACAUGUCUUAAAAUCAGAUAUUUAGCCAAAUAUGACAGUUGAGCGACCAUGCUAAAACAACAGGACCUGGGAUGCCUAACACCUUCUCCCGGGUUAACAGAAUUUCUUACUCGGAAUUUUUAUUCGCGGAAUGUUAAACAGAGACAAUGAUUUCCUCGAUUCGGGAUUCAACUGGUAACUUGGGACACCAAUAGUCUCCUAAAUGAUAACUCUGAAUUUUUAAUAAAUAAAUUCCGUUUCAAUUGUCCUUUAAUUAGAAAAACUCCUUUAGGCCCUUACGGGUGUAGGUAAAAAGGAGGUGUGACCAGGGGUGAUUUGUGUGGUAUCCAAUAUUCGAUCUUGAAAAUUUUGAUUCUUCUAGGUGUUCUAACUGCUACUGUUUUCGAUAUUAAAAUACAAAAAUAAAAGAAUACAAAGAUUUUUACGUGGAAAAUACCUGGCUCAAUAGGCGAAAAACCCACAACCUACUACUCCGUAGUAUUUUCUCAAACAUCCACUAAACUCAAUGAGCCAAAAUAGUAUUUACAAAAAUCUUGUAAACCUAAGGAUUAACUAUAAUCCCAGUGUGGCACACGGCCUCAACUGUUGCGACCCUUCAAGUUAACUCUAACUUGAACACUCAAAGUGCCUAAUACAAUUGCUUCUAUGAAAGUUGGAAAGGUACAAGUUUUAAGCCACCUAAUGUAAUUGAACUAGAAUAAGAAUAAAUACAAUGGAACUGGUUCUUCUAUAUCGUUCAAGUAGCUGCAUGAGUGCACUCUUUAUCUCACAUAAAUUGCUUGCAAAAUUGUCUUGCUCUUUUGCUCUCAAUUUAGCUUAACUUCUGUGUGUGCAUAUCUAUAAAAGAGAACAACUCAGUAACUUAUUAGGUUAGUAAUCAGAUUUUGAUUGUGAUUCAAUUUCUUAUCCUCCAUUUAAUUUGAGUCCUAGAACAAUAUAAACUCCAAUCCUUAUCUGAUGUGUUCUCUUCUGAUAAGGACACUUCUUCUCCUUAUCCCAUAUGCAAUAUUUUCGAUCAGUUCAGAAGAUAUUCAGAAGAUAUUCCUGCUUGAUACCAAAGGCUUAUCUUCUUCAUGGCAUCCCAUAUGCAUGGGCCAUAACCACUGUGUCUCAUAAUAUUGACCUGGCCUUUCACUGGGUUCAUUUGUCAUUCUUCAAAACUUCAAGUGAACUUGGGCCGAGUAAUUCCCCUUUUUUAAUGAUGAUAAACUCUGUACUUUUACUGAUUAGAGAACCUAUGGAACUCAUCUAAUUAUCAAUACUUUUACUUAAGAUAAUUUAAUUCAUCAUUAAGGACCAUAUUUAAUCAGGUUAUAAAUAUCACUUUUUUAGAAUAAAAGUAAAGCAUAAUAUCUCUUCUCCCUUUUGGCAUCAUCAAAAAGUUUCAUAUCAUGUGAAUCCCAGAUUGUAAUAGUUACACAUGGCCAGUGGGUCAACUGCAUGUUAAAGCAUGGUUUAGUGAAACAAUAAUCAACCUUGACAAAAACUUAACUAUUGGGAGCAAAUUCAUCACAAGUAAGAGAAAAGUUGAUUAUCAUUGAUAGUAAAUGCUUCUACAACCAGUCCACAAAAAGAAAGAAAAACAUUCAACCAUGAGAAACAAAAACAAGCAAAGAAAACUCCCUAAUCUGGGUCAUUGGGGGGUUACUAGACUGGUUCAAGGACAAUUCUGGGGGACCUAAGGCUUGGAGGAACUAGAAGGUUGGGAUUGGAGAAUAUUGAGCAUCGUUUAAAGCAUCCCUUCACCCUUUUCGUUUUCUUUUGCUAGCUCAUCUUUUAGGCUAUUCCUCUCAUUUUCAAGUUCAGCAACUCGAGCCUUAAGCCUAGCAAUCUCAGCAUCCUUUGACCAAGACUCUUUAACCAAAUCCCUAACCUUGUUGUUCACUGGAGUCUUCAAAGAUAAACCAUGUUCAAUUGGGCCUGUACUGAGGAGAUAGUCACAAGCCUACAGGGUUUUGACACCAAAAUGGUCCUUGCUGGAGGCCAUCUUUCAUUUCUUCAAGGGAAAAUUCAAUCUAUCCAGCACACUCAUAAAUACGAAACCAUAGGGAGUAGUAAGAUCCUUGGAGCCAUUUAUGACAUUGUCCUGUAACUUGACAAUGAAGGCUGGCCAAUUAAUUUGCUUUCCUCUCACAAGGCAUUCCAUAAGAGCCAAGUCCAUAUGAUUAGAAGUAUGUCUCCUCUCCUGUCAGGGCAGCAGACACUUGUUCACAAAUUCUAAUAGCACCUUGUGCUCAGACUUCAUCUCACUCUUCUGUACAAAUCCUGCCUCUGGCACAUCUUAGCAGACUCAGUGUCACAAAAUUUCCUGGUUAUUUGGAGAGCACUAGGAAGAUCAUAUAGAUAAGGACACCUCUGCUUAUUAUAGUCAUCAUAUCCCUCGCAUGGUAUGUCUAGAAUUGUCCCCAAUUUAGGUGCAUUAAAUUGCACCUUCACUCCCCUAACCACACUGCUGACUACCCCAUUUUUCACAGUGGCAUUUGCCAUAAACACGUUCAGCUUCUUUCUUGUCAGCCUUCCAUCCAGUUGAAGGACCAUGUCCUUCCAACCUUUUACAGCUAGAGGAUCCACCAACCUAAUCAUGUCUAGAUCCUCCAGGUCUUUCAACAAUCUUCCAUUCAGAAUCUUUCUCUUGCCAAAGAUGGCAAAUCCAUCUUGUUCCGUUUCAGACUCCUCAUCUUCUUCUUCUACACUACACUCUUCUUCUUCUUCUUCAGUAACUUUUACUUGUUAUCCCUUCAUUGCAGACCUAGUUCUUUUGGCCAAGAAGGGUUCAGCAGAUACAGAUUUUGAAGACUUCUUUGCAGGAGUCUUGGUUCCUUUUGGUUUGGCAAUGGGAACCUCCACAGUUGUACCCCUCUCUUGAUGGACCAAUUCCACCUCCUCCUCCUGUUCUUCAGCAGCCUCAGAAUAUUCCAUAACCUUUUCUUUCUUCUUUUUCUUACUCUUCUCUAAAGCUUUCUAUAGUUCUCCCUUGCUUUGCUUGACCCUGCUCCUUGUAGCUUUUUCUUUUGGCAAUGAAGGAACAGCAGACUUGGAAGAUGACACCUUGCUUUUUUUAAAUGGUUUGGAAGCGAUUGGGGACUUUUUGGAAGAAGCCUUGCGCUUCUUUGGAUCAUAACUGGCCCCAACCUUCUUCAAGAUAUCAGCCAAGGUUUCCUUCACGCAUGAACCAGGUUCAUCUUGCUGCUCACUCAGAUAAACAAGGCCUUCAGCAGCCUCUCCAGAACUACUUCCCCCUGACUUGACGCCACCCUCUUCUACACUACCGCAUAUAGCAAGAACUUCUCCUUUAUUUUUCUUUCCCCUUCUUCUAGACCCAGUCCCCUCUACAAUUUGUACAGAUACAACCAACACAAACCUAUUUUUCUCCCUUUUUACCACAUCAGAAAAAGCAAAACAAGUAUUUAUUUCACUUGGAUUUCUUGAUUCUUGUCAGUGUCAGAAGACUUAUGUUAUCUACCAUCACUUGCAGAGAGAAAUACCUCAGACUCAGAUCUUGAGUCAAAUUCUUUUGCUGGACUUUCCUUCUUUUGGCUAGCUUUCAAUUUUUUGUUUAAGGCUUUUCUCAAAGGGCCCGAAGCUACAGUUUUCCUAGCAACAUUUUAUGGCGAUGAAUCCUAGGUUUGGGGCUUUUAACAGGAGGGUGGAGGAUGAAGUAUUAGGAGAUACUGGCGGGGGGAGUACCUGGGUUGUCUUGAGGGUUUGUCAUGGUAGAGAAUUUUUGGUAAUUUUGGAAAUUUUGGAUAUGAAGGAGAUGAUCAGAAUUUUGGAGAGGGUGAGUGACGGUUUUGAGCAUGAAGAAGAGAUGUGGUGUGUAUUUAAAGAGGUUUUAUGAUUAAGUUCAGUAACGGCAGGCUUUUUCAGUUGUCAAUUAAAGGUCUAAUCAUAUUAGAAUUCCGGUCUCUUGGUGAUUAAUGGACGACGCUAGUUUUUAGGAAAACAUUUUGUUUUAAUUAGACUCCUAGGGUAAUGAAACUGGUUUAAUGUUCAAUGGAUACAAUUUUUGGAAGCUUUGUGUAGUUAGGACUUUUGCUCAUGAUUGAGAAAUUUCUCUUUCUAAUUGUGCAAAGUAUAGAAACAUACCUGAACUUUCUCAUGAGCAUAUACUGAUGAACCAGGUUCUUCAAGUAAAAUUUCUCUUGAUCAUACCUCAAAUGUCAAAAUAGAAAAACUUUGUAAAAGAUCAGUGAAUCAUAUAACCACAAGUCAUAGAAAUAUACUAACUAAAGUAUGAAACUGAGUAAGAAUUAAUCUAGAUAUUUACAUGAUAUUAAGAGCUCCUAACCAAAAACAAAUUUCUUGUGCAUUCUGAAUUGGAUCUUUUAGGUGAUCUUAAUCAUCCAUAAUUCGAACAUGUUCCUUUCAAAGUUUUCUCUGCUCAUUGCUUUAGUGAAGAUAUCAGCUAUUUAUUUAUUAGUAGCACAGAAUUCUAUUGAGAUUAGCCCUUUUCUCAUAGUUAUCUCUUAAGAAGUGGUGUCUAACAUCUAUGUGCUUGGUCCUUUUAUGAUGAACAUGGUUCUUUGUCAUACUUAUAGCACUAGUUUUAUCACAAAUUAUUGGAAUACAUCCCACUUCAAUUCCAAAGUCUAUCAUCUGUUGUUUGAUCCAUAGCAAUUGAGCACAACAUGAAGCAGCAGCAACAUAUUCAGCUUCAGCAGUAGAUAGGGCUACUGAAUUUUCCUUUUUGGUAGCCCAUGGCACAGACAUGACCCCAAGAAAUGUGCCAUACCAUAAGUGCUCUUCCUGCCACUAAGAAACCUGCAUAAUCAGCAUCAGCAUGUCCUACUAGAUCAAAAUUUCUACCUUUGGGAUACUAAAGACAUAGAUCAGUGGUGCCUUUCAGAUAUCUCAGGUCUAUUGGCAGUAAGAUACAAUAGUGAAGCAAUCAUACCCCUAUACAACUUUUGAUUAACUGAUGAACCAUGUUCAUCAACAUCUAAUUUAGUCACAGUUGCAAUAGGUGUAUCUAUUUCUUUGGAGUCCUCCAUUUAAACUUUUUAAUUACUUCUUUUGUAUACUUGUAACGACCCGGCCGAUCCUAUUUCAAAUUUAUGCCUCGUUCCCCCAUUAACUGCUUCUCCUAAGUUCAUUUCUGCUAUUUUGGUUUGCCGAGACGUACGGUAUUAGGACUUGGAGUGUUUUGGUACACUUAAUCCCUAAUUGAGAACUUAAGUGUUAGAAAGUGGUUCGUAAUUGGAACAAUGUAAAGACGACCUUGGAAGGGAAAUCUAAUGGUUCAUUUAGCUCUGUUAGGUGAUUUCAGGUUGGGAGCGUGUUCGGAAGGUGUUUUAGUUGUCAAUAACUCAUAUAGGCAAGAAAUGCCAAAACUUAAAAUUUUGAAGGUUCCAGUCCGAUAGUGAAUUUUUUAUCCGAGGGUAAGAAUGGAAUUCCAGAAGUUUUUGUAGCACCUCGUGUCAUUAGGGACGUGCACGCAAAUUUUAGGUCAAUCGGACGAGUGUCGGUUAGAUUUUUUAUCGAAAGCGUAUUUUGGAUGAACUUGAAGUUCUUAGGCUUGAAUCUUUGAUUUAGUCGAGUUUCCGUUGUUGUUUUAUAUAUCGUAAGGAUUGGCGUAGGUUUGAAUAAGGUAUUAGGUUGUAUUGGUGUUUUUGGUUGAGGUCCCAGGGGCCCCGGGUGUAUUUUGGAUGCUCAUUGGACAAAUUUAUGGAGUUAUAAGAAAAAAAUUCAACAAGUCUUUGGGUAUUUCCACUUCCGCAGCUUGGGAACUGCAGAAGUAGAGCCGCAGAAGAAGAGUCGCAGAAGCGGCAUGGCAACCGCAGAAGCUAAAGGAAGGCAAGUCAGCUAGGUGCGCAGAAGCGGUGGAAUUUUCGCGAAAGCAGAAUCACUUCUGCGAGUGUAUGACCAUAGAAGCGGAACCUGGAGUUUAUGUGAGGAGUCGCAGAAACGGCUAGUGGUCCGCAAAAGUGGGACGCAUAAGCGGUCCUUGUCCGCAGAAGCGGAAAGCACUAUUAUAAAAAGUGGAAAUCCGAGGGUUUAUUUCAAAAGUUAGAUAAACCAAAAUUUAGCUCGGGAGAAGGCGAUUUUGGGUGAAAUUUGAAGAAAAGAUCAGUGGGUAAUGUUUUAUUAACCUCAUUUAGUUAUUUUUCUACCAAUGUCUAGUUAAAUCCACCAUCAGAAUUCAAAUUCAAGGUCAAAAUUGGGGGAAAUUGGAUGAAACUUCUUAGACUUAAUUAUUUUAUUUUGAUGGGCAUUUGACCUCUUAUUUGGGAGAUAUUUAUAUGGUUAGACUCGUGAGAGUACGAGGGUUCGGAAUAUUUGAAAAUUAUUUGAUUCCGAGUUGUUGGAAUGAGGGGCGUUUUGGUCAUUUUAUCUAUUUUCAUGUCGUAGCUAUACUUUUAAUUGUGGAAUUAGUUACCUAUGAUUUUAUUUAUGUUAUCUAAUUAGAUUGAAUAGAUUUGGGCCAUUUAGAGUCGGAUACUCGUGGCAAAGGCAUUGUUCAUAGUUGAUUUCGGUACCGGUUGGAGGAAAGUGGCUUGAUUAACUUUUUGUGGGGGACCUCUCCCCUUAGGAUAUAGUAUUUGUUAUUUUAAAUGCCUUGUACGCAAGGUGACAGACAUGUACUUGGACUAAUUGCUGCAAAUCUGUUUUAAUUAGAAUAUUUAAGCUAUGUUUUCUUGCAUAUUUGCCUAAUCUAAAUGCCAUUUAACUUGUGUUAUCUUAAGAAAAGCAUGUGUAGAUGACUUACUUGCUUAUUUGCCUAAAUUGUAUUAUCUGUCCUCCGUGAAGCAUGCUAGACUAAAAUUCUAUUAAUUGUUCAUACUUAGAAUUAUAUUAUAUUUGAAUUAUUGUGGUGUGUUUAGAAUUUAGGACUACGGGACAACAUCCUGGAAGUUUCCCCUACACGUGUUACAUACUAAGACCGAGAGUGUGGAUAUCAAGAGAUCCCUGGCACAGAUAUGACUAUAAGAUGGAGGAUACCAGAAGAUCCACGGGAUACUAAGAAAUCCCUUGUGUAUAAAUGGAGGGUACCAACAGAUCCUCGGGAUACUAGGAGAUCCCUCAUGUAUAUUAUGAGGAUACCAGGAGAUCCUCGGGACACCAGGAGAUCCCCAAUGAUAAAUAUCUGAUGGUCUUUGUACUUCUAUUUAUUUACUGUGUUGGUUCUCGGUUACAGUCUUAUUUGUUAUCUUGCUAGAUUCUCGCAAUAGAUUAUAUCCAUGUUGUCUUUUCCUUAUCAUAUUGAUUAUUAUGUUUUUAUCUCAAUGGGGCCUCGACCUUCCUUGUCACUACCCGACCGAGGUUAGUCUUGCCACUUACU